UACGUAGGUGGCGAGCGUUGUCCGGAUUUACUGGGCGUAAAGAGCGCGCAGGCGGUCGUACAAGUCGGGUGUGAAAGCCCCCGGCUCAACUGGGGAGGGUCACGCGAUACUGGUCGACUCGAAGGCAGGAGAGGGAAGUGGAAUUCCCGGUGUAGUGGUGAAAUGCGUAGAUAUCGGGAGGAACACCAGUGGCGAAGGCGACUUCCUGGCCUGUUCUUGACGCUGAGGCGCGAAAGCUAGGGUAGCAAACGGG
rnacentral:rRNA from 1 species